rnacentral:rRNA from 1 species
UACGGAGGGUGCAAGCGUUAAUCGGAAUGACUGGGCGUAAAGCGCACGCAGGCGGUCUGGUAAGUUGGAUGUGAAAUCCCCGGGCUUAACCUGGGAACUGCAUUCAAAACUGACGGGCUAGAGUCUUGUAGGGGGGGGUAGAAUUCCAGGUGGAGCGGUGAAAUGCGUAGAGAUCUGGGGGAAUACCGGUGGCGAAAGCGGCCCCCUGGACAAAGACUGACGCUCAGGUGCGAAAGCGUGGGGAGCAAACAGG